GAUGAACGCUGGCGGCGUGCCUAAUACAUGCCAGUCGAGCGAACGGACGAGAAGCUUGCUUCUCUGAUGUUAGCGGCGGACGGGUGAGUAACACGUGGAUAACCUACCUGUAAGACUGGGAUAACUUCGGGAAACCGGAGCUAAUACCGGAUGAUAUUUUGAACCGCAUGGUUCAAAAGUGAAAGACGGUCUUGCUGUCACUUAUAGAUGGAUCCGCGCUGCAUUAGCUAGUUGGUAAGGUAACGGCUUACCAAGGCAACGAUGCAUAGCCGACCUGAGAGGGUGAUCGGCCACACUGGAACUGAGACACGGUCCAGACUCCUACGGGAGGCAGCAGUAGGGAAUCUUCCGCAAUGGGCGAAAGCCUGACGGAGCAACGCCGCGUGAGUGAUGAAGGUCUUCGGAUCGUAAAACUCUGUUAUUAGGGAAGAACAUAUGUGUAAGUAACUGUGCACAUCUUGACGGUACCUAAUCAGAAAGCCACGGCUAACUACGUG
rnacentral:rRNA from 1 species